UGACUCUCAUCUCUAUGAAUCAAUUAAAGGCUCUGAAGCUCCUCUCUAUGAAUCAAUUCAAGGCUCUGAAGCUCGUCUCUAUGAAUCAAUUAAAGGCUCUGAAGACGCUGAUAAUGAUACAGCUGAAUCCCAGGAUGUCAACUAUUCAUUGAUUGAACUUAAAAACUUUGGAAGGAAGGGGAAACGCCAUGAACCAGAGGAGAGUUGUCUUUACUCUGAUGUGAAUAUAGGAACUGCAGUCACCUGGUGAAAUGGCGCUAGACAAGUUUCAGUGAACAUCCUGAUAUCCUGUUGAAAACUGAUGCAGCACAGAGGUCGUCCAGUUUAUUUCCAGCAUCUGUACAAUGGCUGGCAGGAUGCUAGUUCAGCUGGUGCUCAUUCUUUUCCUCAAUGUUUACUGAUGUUUACAUUUGAGAACCUUGACCUGGCUAGCUAGCAGCUAGCUAGCAGAGGAGGGUUUACAGACUGCUGAGACUCGCAGCCACACAACAUCAUCGUCCAAAGUUAACCACAAAAAGCACCACCAACAAGCUGACAGAGAGGCGACUGGAAGUGUCCGUGCUUAACUUGUGGAUUUAAUUAGUCCGAGCACGAGCACAAGACUAUUGAUGCUUAUUCUCAUCUAGUAUUAAUGCACUGCAUUGUCUUUUUUAUUUUGUAGUCAUUUUGUCAUUUAUUUUUUGUAGGUAACUUUGAAACGAAGUUAUUCCAAAGAGCAGCACAAGUAUAUUUGAGCUUUAGUUACCAGCUGCUGGCAGUGAUGGCCAAAUGAGGCCUCAUGAAGCACUGCCUUUAUUUUCUGAAGCCACCAGAUGGCGAUGUCUGUUCAACAAAAGCUUGAAAGCACACUUCAUUGUAAGUCUGUCAGCCUUUAUUUUUAAACCAAGAGCGCCAUCUGGUGGGGAGAGAAAGUAAAGAAAAUGGGUCAUGAGGUUUCAUUUGGCCAUCACUAGCUGCUGGUGCAGCUUUAAAGUCAGCAUCUUUUAUAGAGUUAGAUAAGAUAGAUCCAGGAUAGACAUUACAAACUACUUUAAUAUACAGUAUGUAAUAAUCUGCUAUCAGACAACAUAUCCUAUUACAUGUACAUGUUUUCCUCUCUCUUAAAAAUAUA